UGUGCUGCUUCUGCUUGCACUGUUGGCUAAGUAUACCUGGCCUGAGAAACUACGUUACUAGCUAACUGCAUUAGCAUCUAGCUAACAUUAAAUUAAUAGAAAGCAAUGAAAGUGGUAGUUGAAUUACAGCUCAGGGUGGUAAGAAUGUUUUGUUAAUACAACUAGCUGCUUCCCAAUAGUUUACUUUUGUGAGGAGCGUUGUUUACAGUGUUGCAUCUAGCUAACGUUACCUGGAAACUAGCCCGUCCAUUUAGCACUAAUGCCUUGGGUUCUCGAGAGCAACCUGGAAACUAAACUCAACUGUCUAUGUUCCAACACAUGCAUAUCUAGCAAGUUUGUAAGUUUUCAUGCAAGAUAUGCAUAACGAUAAUGACAUUGUUGAUAUACUUGUGGGAUCCAUCCACAGUGUUUAAUUUUACCGGACGUUAUCAUUUUGAUUAGCCUUGAGUGUACUGUACUGGCACUACUGCCUCUGCGAUGAGGCCAGGGCUUUUAUGGCACAGGUGUUCAUCAUCAUUGGAGAGUUAUGGUUUAAGCUCCAAUUUGGAACUUCCUUUUCAAUUGCUACAUUAGCAAUGGUGAACAUACAUCCUAACUGUUCGCAAAGCCGAUGUCUUGACACCAUAACCAUUUAUUCAAUAUAAUGAGGUAUUUCAGGUAUCAUGCCCUGGUGUGCAUUUGCCAGCUAAGGAUGACAUCUACCUCAGUGUGUGCUUCAUGGGCCAAUACCGCAAGUUGGAGUGUCUCCCCCCUGUCUUCCCACUCCUGUUUCAAGAGAAGAUGGCUCAAUGUGACAUGUCUCUUCCUGAUCAUUCUAAACCAAGGGUGGCCAACCAACUCUUCUGGAGAGCUAUCAGGUGUGCAUGCUUUUGUUCCAGCCCAGCUCUUGCACAGUAGAUAAUAACUACACAGCUGUUCAUCAACAGGCUUGAUUUGCUGACUCCGGUGGGUUUGAGCAGGGCUGGAACAAAAGCCUGUAUGCCCUGUAGCGCUCUUGGAUGCCAGGAGGUUUGGCACCAUGCAGCUGUCCCAUACACUAGUAACAGAAAUCCUAAAAUGUGUAUGAACAAGAUUUUCUAAAUGAGAUUUGUUCAGUUUCUCUUCACAUUCAGGUGUUCCACUAUGCUGUUGGCCCAGGAGAUGUUGCACAGAUGCUGGAAUGUGAAACCGUCAAAGUUGAAUUGGGUAUUGCUCCAAGGUCAGAGUUCUCCACCAGAACAACAUCAGUGAGUGCUCUGCAAACGCCGAGGUCAACCACACCCAUCUCAGUUCUCCAGUGAGGACAGUGGUGCCAGAGAAACACACUAAAAGGUUCCGAAAUGGGCAUUGAGGAGGAGUUUGGGAUGGUGCCCGAUGGGCACCAGCGAAGCCCAGGUCGCGCUCUCUCUCCCCGUACAAAUCCAGCCAGAUGGAUGGUUGUCAUGGAAACAUGGGUUAACUGGCACAGCUCAGUUUGGGUUCAAGCUGGGAUAUAGAUGAGGAGUUUUUAUCCUGCCAUGUGAGUAUAUUUGACUUCUAGUGGUGUGAGCUGUCAUGAUGACAAAUGACAGUAUGACAUCUGCUAUGUCAUGCCAGCGAGUCAGCGACAAGUCACCAGGCUCAAGUGUUAAGUACAUACAUAGUUGUAUUGAUGUGUGUUUGUGUUAUUUUAUUUUGUUUGUGUGUGUGCGUGUCUGUGUGUGUGUGUGUGUGUGUGUGUGUGUGUGUGUGUGUGUGUGUGGCAUUACAGCCAGCAGGUGGCAGAGAAUAGCUCACUGUUAUUUGUAGCGAUGAGGAAUAUUCCCAGAUGCAUUUUUAUCCUCAGCUCUGCUCAGUCAUGUAAAUUAGUAAUGAUUUCCUGAACUGUACAUAACACGCUGUUAUUGAGAUGACAUUGUUGAUAAAGGAAAUAGGACAUUGAACUCAACUAAUAAGCUAAGAUUAGAUAGUACUUUAUCAAUCCCCUAAAGACGAAUUUUGAUUGCACAAGCUAAUACAUACUACAACAACAACAAUAAUAAUUAGACAAUAAAACACAACAAAGGACACGCAGACAGUAAAAGCAGCACAUCAUCAAUUCAUGUAAAAGACUAGUGUCCACCUCUGGACACCAGUUCCAAAUAAAACGAAACCAUUCAUUCCAUUUGGCAAAUAGGGUUAUUUCAGGCUUUGGACUCCCAACUCAAUCAAAUUGGUUCAUUUUAUGUAUACCCCUUCAAGUGACGUGUAUCGGACUGAUACUUAGUAGCAUGUCAUGGUUUUUUAACCAUCUGCUUUGCUGUGUUCUCCUCCUGUCCCUAGAAGAGGGACCCUUGGCUCGGUACUGGCAACUCCCCCACACCUCCCCUGUCAUGGCCAGACGCACCCUGACCAACGGCUCCUCUCCUCGUCUCCCACACUCCCCAUCCUCUGACAAUCUCCUGUACUUCCCCCCCCCAGGUCCAAGCCAGCAAUGUUCCCUGGCUAACAAAGGGGGGUCCCCCACCCCUACACCCAUACCCAUCCCUUCCAUGCUUUGGUGCUCCUACAUGGAAAGCUAGAGCCAAAAUGGGUCAUGCCCAAGUUCCCAGGGCACAUGGGAGGAGGUCCAACACCUAUCACCCCAAGAGCAGUGCACAGACUCUCCCAUUAGCCCAGAUCUGUUUUUGUUUAAUCUUGCCAACUCAUUGACAAUGACAUAUGUGUUGGCAAGAUUUGACAGUGACACACAGUACCAGUCAAACGUUUGGACACACCUUCU